GUCCACGCCCUAACGAUGUCAACUGGUUGUUGGGUCUUCACUGACUCAGUAACGAAGCUAACGCGUGAAGUUGACCGCCUGGGGAGUACGGCCGCAAGGUUGAAACUCAAAGGAAUUGACGGGACCCGCACAAGCGGUGGAUGAUGUGGUUUAAUUCGAUGCAACGCGAAAACCUUACCCACCUUUGACAUGUACGGAAUUUGCUAGAGAUAGCUUAGUGCUCGAAAGAGAGCCGUAACACAGGUGCUGCAUGGCUGUCGU
rnacentral:rRNA from 1 species